GGAUAGUUUUCAUAUACAUUUCUCCUCCUGCAUUUACUUAAACUGCCAGUCUUAGAGCCUUAAAUAAGAUGCACUCAGCUGAAAAUUGUCCUUCACUGAGGAGACACGCUGUUCCUACUGAGGGAGAUAAUCCAGCAUUGUAUAUUUUUGUGCACAGAGGAAAGCAAGAUACUCAUCAGAGACUCAGCUAUUCCUCCAUUCCGAAGCAUCCCAGAGGAAUUUCUGAAGGCAGGAGGGAAUCCUGAGAGACAGAUAAGCAGAACAGAAGAAGACUUCUGUGGACAGAUUCAGGAAGAAGGAGGAUCCUUCCAGCUAUCCUGCAAGAGACUCCCCUAUGCUGCAUUGAGAAUAAUACUCAGGUUAGAGAUGCUUCGAGAUCCUCCCUGCAAAAUCUUUGCCUUGGCACUUGGCUCCCAGGGAGUCUCAUUUAUGUGUCCCACCAUAAAUCAUGGCUAGCUUAGAGACUAGAAGUGGGAACUGACCACAUCUCUACCUGCUUUCCUGGAAGAAGAUGAAACAGAGUUAUCAGCCGUGGGAGUCAAAGAGAACUAACUAAA
rnacentral:lncRNA from 1 species